GAUACCUGUUAUAUCAAAAUUCUGCUUUAUUUAAAUGUCGUGAAGAAUAAUUAAUGAUACAAUGAUUAUUGUCAUUUUUAUCUAAAUUGUAUAUCUCAAAUGAACUAUUAAAUGUGUCAAUUAAAUAAAAAGGGAAGUAACAAUAAUACGAUUAAAAUAAAAUAAAAGAAAAAUAGUAAAAUAAAAGAAAAAUAAGAAUAAAAAAAAAAAACAAUACAAGGAAUUAAUAACUGGUCCGGGACCAGGCGCGUUUGGAACGCGGAGAACGCAGAGUUGGAAACCCGGCACUGACGAGUGUCCUUAACCUCCGGGUUUAAAUUCCCUGGAAAAUGGUUCAUUCCAGAAACUGAGGAUCCGGGAUCCGGACGUGGUCACGUACCACGUUUUUUAGCGUAGUAAAAUUGGACGCGUGUUCCGGGAACACGUAGCGGUUUUUAUUGUUUCCGCAGGAUAAAAUUACAUUAGAUUAGGAUAGUGUUCUGGGAACACGUUGCGGUUGGACCGCGGGAAUAAAAUACAGUAGAAUAGGACUUAGUGUUCUGGGAACACGUUGCGGUUGGACCGCGGGAAUAAAAUACAGUAGAAUAGGACUUAGUGUUCUGGGAACACGUUGCGGUUGGACCGCGGGAAUAAAAUACAGUAGAAUAGGACUUAGUGUUCUGGGAACACGUUGCGGUUGGACCGCGGGAAUAAAAUACAGUAGAAUAGGACUUAGUGUUCUGGGAACACGUUGCGGUUGGACCGCGGGAAUAGAAUACAGUAGAAUAAGACUUAGUGUUCUGGGAACACGUUGCGGUUGGACCGCGGGAAUAGAAUACAGUAGAAUAGGACUUAGUGUUCUGGGAACACGUUGCGGUUGGACCGCGGGAAUAGAAUACAGUAGAAUAGGAUUUAGUGUUCUGGGAACACAGAGCGGUUGGACCGCGAUACAUAGAGAUUGAAGUGGGUUUCAUACCCGAGAAAGUGGUCAGGGACCACGGGCAACGCAGCGGUUGGACCGCAUAAAGAGAAAGUGAAAGUGGUAAGAAAGCCACGAAAUAGUCGAAAAUACGAAGAGAAUAUUGGUAUUUGAAAAAGUUUUAUUGUAAGCAAUAUUGUUAAGUUGUGCUAAAGAAUAGGAAUUUGAAACUUACUGAAGAUUGUACGAAAUGGCUGCUUAUUUUUAAAUGUGCUGUUUAUUUGCGCUGUUUGCUACCGGUAUAUUAUCAGCUUUACUGUGAGUAUAUUUUAAUUCAACUUCUUCUUUGGAUAAAUAUUUUUAUUGAUUUUUGCUGCCAGUGAAUUGCAAUUCAGUGUUAUCUUUUUACGAAAUAUUUUUGCUAUUAUUCAAUUCCACGAUUAGUACAUUUUUAUUCAAUUUUCUAUUUUUCCUAUUAACAAGUUUUUACUUAAUCUUAUAUCUUAGGUUUUAAUUAAAUUUUCUAUUUUUCUUAUUCAAUUUUAUUAUCAUUGAUUUGUACUUAAUUGUAUAUCUUAAAUUUUGAUUUAAUUUUCUAUUUUUACGAAGACAUUUUAUUUUGAGUCAGAUUUAUGAUCAGUAAAUUUUAAUUUAGCAUCCUAAAAUCUGAGUAUUGUCUAGAUUUAUUAUAAGUAAAAUCGUAAUUCAGUUUUUAUGUGUUCAAUUACUAAUCGUUUUACUGUAAGUGAAGUUGGAAUAAAAUUUCUAGUUUUAAAAGCCGUCGGAUUCCGUCUUUAAAAAAUUUAUUGUGGUUGCAAUUUACUGUCAGCAAAUUUUAACUCAAUUUGUAGAAAAGCAUAUUUUAUAUCCUGUGUAUAUUGUAUUUUACUAUUGUGUGUAUUUGGGGGAUUUUGUUUAGUAUUAUUUCAUUUACACGGUACAAGCGUAGACGGAUCCAGUUUUUAUUUUGUUUUAUUGAUGUGAAUGUGUGAUUCUCCGGAGUUGUCUAGUGUUAUUUCAUGUUUAAAGGAGUAGACGUUUCUGCAGUAUAUUUUAUGUUUAUUGUAUUUUAGUGUGGAUGUCCAUUUUCUUAUUUCAUUCCGGGGUGUGACUCGGGAAGAAAGAGUAGUUUCUUUAUACUUGAUUUCAAAAUAAAUUGAAAUGGAUAUUUGUUCUCGGUGAAUUGAUUACAAGAAGAGAUUGUUUCAUUUCUAACAAGAUUUAAGAGUAAGGAAGAGAAAACUGUGAACUUCUCAGCUCGGAGCGUAAUUUAGUUUCACUUUAGAAGCUGUGCUCUCAUUCUGCUUCCUUUCCGUGACGGGCUGGUAGUUUUACUUUCAUUUUGAAGAAAAAUACAACUGAAAGAAGUUAUAUGUUAUAGAUUGUCAAAGCCGAAAAGGGCGUACGGAAGAGAAAUACACCCAGUCCGAGAGAGAUAAUAGACGAAAAGUGUAGAAGUAGAGAGAUUCAAACGAUUACUGAUAUUUAAUAAUUUCGAUUGCAGUAGUGGAACAGGGUUUAAUAGAACUCAGCCGACUUUGUCUGAAACUAAGCCGUGGUUAUCAUAAAAGCAUAUGGUGCCUGUGAAUUGAUUGAGACGCGUAUUGGAUGCAUUGUUUCGAGCCGUAAUAAGAAUAUUGUAACUUUCAGGAAAACUUUAGAAAAUUAGUGAGAUCAGCAAGAGAUUUGAGAAGUGCUGGUUGUUUUAUGGAAAUUGACAUUUGAACGUGUGAUAAGAAAUAGAUGUUAUUGAUGUGAACUUUAAUUUCAAUUUUGACAAGUAUUGAAGGCCCUUACAUUUUUUAUUUUGGCAAAGCUUAUUUGUAGUUUCUAAUUUUAACAAGUAUUACACAAUAUUGAAUUUUUAUUUUUGAUAAAUUUUGUUUUUUACUUUAACCAGCAUUGCAUAUUCUUACAUUUUAAUUUUGAUAAAUUUUAUUUUUUAACUUUAACCAGUAUGACAUAUUGUUACAUUUUUUAACUUUGAUAGAUGUUGUUUUUUAAUACGUCCUAAAUAUCAUUUCAUUUUUGAGAUUUUAAAUUUCUAAUUUGACAAGUUUUAUAGAAUGAAUGUAGUUUGAAUUCUGACAGGAGUUACAUAUUGCCAGAUUGAAUUUGAUUUAAGUUUUGACAACAUCUUGAAUCCUUUUUAACCGUCAUCAAGCAAGAGUUGAAUACCAUUACAUUUUCAUUUCAAGAAGAAGUAACAAUACUGAAUUUUAUUGUCUGGCAAUAGUAUUAAAGUGAACUUUAAUUUUAAUAAGAAGAGGUGAUUGUUGUUCGUUUGACUAAGAAAACACAGAAAAUAAUUUUGUGAGAAUUUUUGUGUAUUUACAGAAGGACUGACAGCAAAUAACAUUGAGAGGAAGAAUAAACGAGAUAUUCAGGGUAAGACAUAUUUUAGUGGAAGAUAACAUGAAGACUCUUAAAGAGCAAUGGGAGGCAGCCGUAGAACAGCUUUUGAGUGGGUUAGAAGAAAGAGAAAGGCUCAAAAAGACUCAGAAAUUGCAAGAAAUGUAUGAAGAAUGGAAACAACUUAAGGGUUACGAAGAUAGGACGAAGACAAAUUUGAAAGAGCAAGUAAUUGUUCAAGAAAGUGAAGCGCACAGGAAGUUUCAGAGAGAGGACAAAAAGGAAGUGGGGUUUCUAGCUAGAAAGAAGCAUGACAAGGAAGUGAAGAGACUACGUGAAGAGUUUCAUUUGUGGCAUAGUAUGGCAGUUAGUUGUGUGGCUUUGGUACAGUUGGAUAGAGAGAGACAAGAGACAGAAAAGAAAGUAGAAAUAAAAAAGAGUGACCUUAAAGAGAAGGAAGCAAACAAAAUUCAAGAGGGGAGGGAAAUAGCAUCCAUAUAUCCAGCACUGCCACCCACUGCUCCACCUCCAUAUGCCCCGCCCCAUACACAGUUGCCAGUAUUUGAAGUACAAAAGGGUGUGUUGGACAUGGAGCAGCGGGAGGGAAAUCGCUGGAAAAUAAAAUCAGGGAAAUUAAAUUUAAUAACAGAAAACGAGACAGAGGAGAGAGAAAUAGCACGAGAAACAGCUGAAUUGAUGAGAACACAUAGAGAGCAAGCGGCACAGGCAGAACAGAAGAUGGCAGCUCUGGAGAAAGAACUGAGGGAACAAUGGAAUAGCGUAGUACAGGAAAGGACAUUUCAACCCGGAGCACAAAGCACCCCAGGAGAAACAUUGAGUAGCAGAUUCAUAACAGUGGACGAGACUGGGAGUCAGAUAGAGGUUGAAGAACAGGGAACAUAUCCAGUUGAAAUAUGAACAGGAAUGUAGGGAACUACAUCUCAUUCGUAGGGUACCUAAUAUCUGCCCCCUAGUGGAGACAAUUGGAAAGGUAGAAUACAAACCAUGGUCAUUCACAGACAUGGGAGCUAUCCUUGCAAAGCUACCUCAUAUCACGAGUGGUGGGGGUAAAUGGAUAGGGAAGGUAAUAACUUUGACACAAGGGCAUACGUUGGCGAUCGGAGACCUUAGAGCAUUAUUGGGACAGGUACUGACUGUAGGACAGAUUACGGAAAUUGAGCGAGAGGCAGGAACGGUAGGAUUAUAUGAUGACUAUCCAUACUGUCGAGUUGCAUCAGAUUGGGGAAAGGCACUGCGAAAGCUGUACCCAGCGCCAGCAGGCACCCUUUACAAUAUAAAAUUUUCUCCAAAAGGGGAAGAAACAGCAGCAGCAUAUCUGAGUCGAUGCAAAGGAGAGUGGGAAGAGCAAACAGGGGCUCAUCCACAUUCAGAUAGAAUACAGGAACAGAUGUUCAGAGCUGCUGUAUUGGAAGGGACUCCUAAAUCUGUACAGGAUGAAAUAAAAGCCAACCCCGACUUACCAGGUGCUUUAUGUGAGGUUUGGGAACGACAUUUCCUUCAUCACAUGUCUAGGGCGAACGAAAAAGAAAAGGUAGGGGAAGUAGAGGAAUUGAAAAAACAGUUGCUAAAAUUACAGUUGCAGGAAGCAAGAUCUAAAUUAAAUGAAGAAAAAGGGAAAAAGAAGGAUAUACAAAUGGUAGUUCAGGAGAUGAAAGCCCCUCCAAGAUAUAACAAAGAACAGGAAGCUGACCCAUCAAAUGUUAUAUGGGAGAGAACCACCCAAAGACCAAUGUAUUACUCCAAUAGAGGUAGGGGUGGGGAUUACAAUAGGGGGAGGGGAAGAGUGCAGUAUCGGGAAGGGUGUUUCCGUUGUGGUCGUCCGGGACACUUCGUCCGUGAUUGUCGGCAACCUGAACUCGGAGCCCAACAGAGACCGUCUCGGGGCAGAGGCCAUAACCCACACAUGGCCCCUAACGUGGAAAAAGCACCACGACCACACUCGCAGUACCCUUUGUCCACUGGAGGGGAAAGGGAGUGGUACUGAGACAGCCCACGGAACGACCUCAGCAGGGUCAGGGCGGAACCCUUGCUGACUUUGGAGACGAAACCACUGAAGUAAGGGGGUUUUCCGGGGCUAUAACUAGACUGCCAUUCUCCAAAGAACUCACAGUGCAGUGCAUGAAAAAACAAUCACUGACUCACUCUUUUCUGCUGUCAUAUUCCUCACCGACAAAUUUGUUGGGAAGAGACUUGCUAGUGAAACUUGGAGCUGAAAUCCUAUGCAGCCCGGAGGGGAUUAUAGUAACUGUGAAAAAUGGUAUCACCAUGAACUGUUCCAUCAUGUCCACAAUGAGAACACAUGGACAAUGGUUACUUUCUGCAAACACCUCUCCACAGGGAGCUGACAUUUACUGGGGGAGGGUGCUUCUGGGGGACACAGGUAACACCCUGAAAGAUCUGUACUCUCAAUGGGAACCUUGGAUAUUGUCAUUAGCGCCAUACACCCAGCUAAUAGAUCCACUGCAUGUCACUCUGUUUUAUGAUAGAACACAAGAGUACUGGUACCAAGAACAAUUUGAUAACAUUGCAGGAGAACAGUGGGAAAUUUUUGGGGCAGGAAUACUGAUAGGCAAAGAGGGAGUGGCAGGUAUUGUAGAACUUACCCCCGAACAGGAACAAUGGUAUAAAAUGAGGGAAGAGGCAUCACCCCAUAUAUCAUUGUUAGUACACCCCCAACACCAAGCUAAAGAUCUAGGACCAAUGGUAAAGAAGGGAAUACACUUAACAGAUUGGAGGGAAACCCAACUUCCUGGUGUAAAAUAUUCAUCUAGCUCAGGGUAUUAUUUGAUCACACAGGAAACAAAAGACACUGUAGUGUUGGAACACGAAUGGCUCACAAGAUGGCAUGGUAGGGAGAAAAGUGAUCAUGAAGAUGCUGAAACAAUGUUGAAAAGUUUGCCCGACCAGUUAUGGACUCAGAGUCCCACAGAUGUAGGGUUUUGUAAAAAUUACCCAGAAAUUUCGUUCGAGCUGACAUGUGAUGAUCCAAUUUGGAGGCCUCAGUAUAAGCACAAACCAAAGGCAGAGGAAGGUAUCAAAGAUACCAUUGAAGGUUUGUUAACCGCAGGGGUUUUAGAGUAUGCUGAUUCCAAUUGAAACACACCCAUUCUGCCUGUGGAAAGACAAAACACAGGAAAAUUCAGAAUGGCACAUGAUUUGAGAACAAUCAAUCAAAUCAUGAAAACUCCAACUUUACCUGUUCCAAACCCAUACACUUCUCUGAAUGAAAUCACUCAAAAUCAAUCAUGGUAUACUUGCAUCUAUCUCGCUAAUGCUUUCUUCUGUUUACCCCUUGCAGAGCAUGUGAGAAACAUUGUUUGACCAUACUCACCGGACAAUCUGUGGUAGCUUUUGUGAAUUCGUCAUCAUUUACAUUUUCCACUCUGAGACAAAGAAAGUUGGAAAACUGUCUCGCACAACCAAAUUUGGUUUUCACGCAUGAGGGCAUAAACAUGGCCUCAUAUUGGACAGAAGGAGAACCCCAUGACUGUUGUAUGACCGUGGAAAGGGAAGAGAAAAUUAGACCAGAUUUGUUGACAAAAAUCAUUCCAGAGGGAGUUAUGGUGUUUUCAGAUGGAUGCUGUUUCAGAGAUUCGAAUGCAACACUGAGGUCAGGAAUAGGUAUUGCAGCACUGGAAGAGGAAGACAUUGAAAUAUUGAUAGCAGAACCUUUACAGGGACAUCAGUCAGCUCAGAGAGCAGAAAUUGUGGCAAUGACAAAGGCGCUAGAGUGGGGAGAAGGAAAAAUAAUUAACCUUUUUAGUGACUCUACCUAUGCAGUGGGUGCAGUUGUAACAGAAUUGCCUAAGUGGAAAAGAUGUGGUUUUAUGGCAGCUAACAACAAACCUAUUAAACAUCAGGAAGACAUCAUAGCAUUAGCAACAGCUAUUAUGAAACCCAAGCAGGUGGCGAUCAUAAAAUGUAAAGGUCAUGAUACCAGUAACUGAGAUGCGGCACAAGGUAACCAGAUAGGACAUGGCGGCAAAGCAAGGUGCAGGGUACAUUACACAAAUGGUGUUACAAGAUGCGGAACAGGAAGGUACCAAUAACAUUUUACCUGACCCAGACAUAGCAGUAGAACAACACAAAGCCUCACCUGAGGAAAAAUCUAUGUGGCUUCACAAAGGGGCGGUACAUUUAGACAAUGGCUGGGUGGGACCUGACGUAAACUAGUUAUUCCACCUAGUAUGAUAGAACCCCUUAUCACUCAAGCACACACCCCCUAACAUGUUGGAAUCAAACAAACCAUUUCCAAUCUUAACCAGUGGUGGCACCAAUACCUGGCUGCUACAGUUAAAGAAUUUAUCGCUAACUGCAGGGUGUGCUCCAUACACAAUGUACGUGCUGGAGUGAAAUGUGCCGCAGGAGUCUUCCCGCCACGGGGACCUGGUGAGGAAGUGGUUAUCGAUUACACAGACCUGGGGGAGAGAGUGGAAGGUAAACGUUAUCUUUUAGUUUUCAUGAAUGUGUUUUCAGGUUGGCCAAAGGAGUGGCCCACGGGGAAGGAAGAUUCGAUUUCGGUGAUUAAGUGUUUGAUUAACCAAUAAAUUCCGCGUUACGGUUUUCUGCUAAUAAAUCGCUCAGACAACGGUACACAUUUUAAGAAUGCGGAUUUACAAAAGGUUGAGAGUGCACUGGGAUUGCGUUUCCGUUUCGGGACCGUAUACCAUCCUAAAUGACAGGGAAAAGUUAAACGUAUGAAUCUUAACCGCAUGACCUCAUUUAAACCAUUUGAACUUCUGACGGGUCGUUCAUUUCCUGGUCCGUUCAACCCAGUGCACCCUGAACAAAUAAAAAUCUUGAUCACAGAACAUAAUUAACCAAACUGAAUGAUAUUGUUUCAAGUUUUUCCAAACAGAAAACCAUCUCUCAUGCACAUCUCUCCAGAUGCAGAAAUCAAUAAUUGGCGGAUUGGGUGCUCCUAAGGGAUAUGGUAAGAUUGGACCUGCAGGAACUGCAGGACCAAAAGGGGGAAUCCAACACAGGGGAACAACAGCAGGUUGACAUUUCUCAAAAGAACACAAAAGUAACACACAAAGAACUAAAGGGGGACUUAUUAAACAGUCCAGAACAUGAACUCAAAAAACACUGUGAAGAACAAAGGGUAAAAAAGUUGGCUAUACCUAGGAUUGGGUGUGGUUUGGACAGACUAGAGUGGGAAAAAGUAAGGGAUUUAAUCAAAGAAGAGGUCCAAAACACAGAAAUAAUCAUUACUGUGUAUGUAAGGGAAUAAUAAGUGAA